rnacentral:rRNA from 1 species
AGUUCGGAUUGGAGUCUGCAACCCGACUCCAUGAAGCUGGAUUCGCUAGUAAUCGCGCAUCAGCCACGGCGCGGUGAAUACGUUCCCGGGCCUUGUACACACCGCCCGUCAAGCCAUGGAAGCCGGGAGUGCCUGAAGUGCGUGACCGCAAGGAGCGACCUAAGGUAAAACCGGUGACUGGGACUAAGUCGUAACAAGGUACC